GGGUGCAUAGCUCAGUCGGUAGAGCAGUAGCCUCUUAAGCUAACGGUCGGGGGUUCGAGUCCCUCUGCACCCACCA
rnacentral:tRNA from 1 species